UAGGGAAUCUUCGGCAAUGGACGGAAGUCUGACCGAGCAACGCCGAGAGAGUGAAGAAGGUUUUCGGAUCGUACAGCUCUGUUGUCAGAGAAGAACGUUGGCAGGAGUGGAAAAUCUACCAAGUGACGGUAACUAACCAGAAAGGGACGGCUAACUACGUGCCAGCAGCCGCGGUAAUACGUAGGUCCCGAGCGUUGUCCGGAUUUAUUGGGCGUAAAGCGAGCGCAGGCGGUUCUUUAAGUCUGAAGUUAAAGGCAGUGGCUUAACCAUUGUACGCUUUGGAAACUGGAGGAAUUGAGUGCAGAAGGGGAGGGUGGAAUUCCAUGUGUAGCGGUGAAAUGCGUAGAUAUAUGGAGGAACACCGGUGGCGAAAGCGGCUCUCUGGUCUGUAACUGACGCUGAGGCUCGAAAGCGUGGGGAGCAAACAGG
rnacentral:rRNA from 1 species